AAUAGAUUUUCGGUUGAACUAGAGUUCGGAUGAAAAUUAUUUUUCUUUCGCUGUUUGUUUUUAUAAUUAUGAGACAAAAUUUUUUGGAUAAACUUCAAAUACCACCCAUGUGGUUUCACACUUUCUCACUUUAGUACCCUGUGAUUUAAAAUGUAUUAAUUUAGUGUCCCGUAGUUUUAUUUUUCUCUUUUCAUCAGCUUUUAAUAUUUUGUUAAAUUAAAUACAAAAACUUCAGAUUCUCCACCUAGGUUUAUCGAAUAUUCAUUUUAGUAUACUUUAGUUUUAAUUUUGUCAUUGAUUUAAGGGAAAAAGAUUAAUGGAAUUGAUAAUAAAAAGAGAAAAAUAAAACCACAGUGCACUAAAUUGAUACACUUUAAACUAUAGGGUACGAAAGUGAGAAAGUGCGAAACCACAGGGAUGAUAUUUAAAGUUUUUCCAAAAUUUUUCUAGUUAUGUUAUUUGUUAGGCAGCAAGUGAGCAACCAAAAAGCAGUAGGUGUAAGAUAAAGUUAAUAUUUUAUUCAUUUUUUUUUUUCAUAAUUAACUAUAAUUUGGGAUGGACCAAAGCCGAUUACGUUAUUUUGAACAUUUUGAGUUUCGACUGAAGGUGUAGUUACAAUGAGCCAAGCAGCAAAAGUGAAUAUUUACGGUCGAAAAUCACUUCACACUUUUUCACUUUUGGUGAAAUAAACACAUUCCUAAUACCUCGUUGAAAGAUACUGAUUGAUGAAAAAUAUCCUUUUACAUUAUAUACAGGUCGCGUAAUUAGUUACUUUACAAGAAUAUAAAACAUUAUAGACACAGUAUUAUUUGCGUUAAGAAAUUAGUAGGUGUCAUAAAAAU
rnacentral:lncRNA from 1 species